rnacentral:rRNA from 1 species
UACGAAGGGGGCUAGCGUUGCUCGGAAUGACUGGGCGUAAAGGGCGCGUAGGCGGCCUCCUAAGUCGAACGUGAAAUCCCCGGGCUCAACCCGGGAACUGCGUCCGAUACUGGGAAGCUUGAAUCCGGGAGAGGGAUGUGGAAUUCCAGGUGUAGCGGUGAAAUGCGUAGAUAUCUGGAGGAAUACCGAUGGCGAAGGCAGGUCUCUGGGCUGACACUGACGCUCAUGCACGAAAGCGUGGGGAGCAAACAGG